AGUCGAACGGUAACAGGAAGAAGCUUGCUUCUUUGCUGACGAGUGGCGGACGGGUGAGUAAUGUCUGGGAAACUGCCUGAUGGAGGGGGAUAACUACUGGAAACGGUAGCUAAUACCGCAUAACGUCGCAAGACCAAAGAGGGGGACCUUCGGGCCUCUUGCCAUCGGAUGUGCCCAGAUGGGAUUAGCUAGUAGGUGGGGUAACGGCCCACCUAGGCGACGAUCCCUAGCUGGUCUGAGAGGAUGACCAGCCACACUGGAACUGAGACACGGUCCAGACUCCUACGGGAGGCAGCAGUGGGGAAUAUUGCACAAUGGGCGCAAGCCUGAUGCAGCCAUGCCGCGUGUAUGAAGAAGGCCUUCGGGUUGUAAAGUACUUUCAGCGGGGAGGAAGGGAGUAAAGUUAAUACCUUUGCUCAUUGACGUUACCCGCAGAAGAAGCACCGGCUAACUCCGUGCCAGCAGCCGCGGUAAUACGGAGGGUGCAAGCGUUAAUCGGAAUUACUGGGCGUAAAGCGCACGCAGGCGGUUUGUUAAGUCAGAUGUGAAAUCCCCGGGCUCAACCUGGGAACUGCAUCUGAUACUGGCAAGCU
rnacentral:rRNA from 1 species